rnacentral:misc_RNA from 1 species
GAUGAAGAACGUAGCGAAAUGCGAUACUUGGUGUGAAUUGCAGAAUCCCGUGAACCAUCGAGUCUUUGAACGCACAUUGCGCCCCCUGGUAUUCCGGGGGGCAUGCCUGUCCGAGCGUCAUUGCUGCCCUCAAGCACGGCUUGUGUGUUGGGCUUCCGUCCCUGGCAACGGGGACGGGCCCAAAAGGCAGUGGCGGCACCAUGUCUGGUCCUCGAGCGUAUGGGGCUUUGUCACCCGCUCCCGUAGGUCCAGCUGGCAGCUAGCCUCGCAACCAAUCUUUUUAACCAGGUUGACCUCGGAUCAGGUAGGGAUACCCGCUGAACUUAAGCAUAUCGAUAAGCGGAGGA